rnacentral:rRNA from 1 species
UGGGGAAUAUUGAACAACGGGCGCAAGCCUGAUGCAGCCAUGCCGAGUGUAUGAAGAAGGCCUUUGGGUUGUAAAGUACUUUUAGCGGGGAGGAAGGGAGUAAAGUUAGUACCUUUGCUCAUUGACGUUACCCGCAGAAGAAGCACCGGCUAACUCCGUGCCAGCAGCCGCGGUAAUACGGAGGGUGCAAGCGUUAAUCGGAAUUACUGGGCGUAAAGCGCACGCAGGCGGUUUGUUAAGUCAGAUGUGAAAUCCCCGGGCUCAACCUGGGAACUGCAUCUGAUACUGGCAGGCUUGAGUCUCGUAGCGGGGGGUAGAAUUCCAGGUGUAGCGGUGAAAUGCGUGAGGAUCUGUAGGAAUCCCGGUGGCGAGGGCAGCCCCCUGGACGAAGACUGACGCUCGGGUGCGAAAGCGUGGGGGGCAAACAGA